UCUAGUCCAAAAUGUUGCACCAUGGUCCCUUUGCGUAGCUGCUUCAACUAUUGAUAGAAGUUUUCCAACUGAAAUUGUCCUUGACAGAAACUUCACCCUAAUGGUAACUGAUAUGAUCUUUCGCCAAAACCUACAAUUCCUACAAAUAAAAAAUGAGUUUUAUUAAAACACAGAGAUUGUAGCACUAGCCAAAGCUAAACAAGCCAAGAAAAAAGUUCAAUGCUUAACAAAAUAUAAACUAUGAAAACACUAAAGUCAAACUUAGAGACAAAGUUCCCAAAGAUGAUCCAUAAUCCUGUAAUAAUGCCUUUGAGAGCAAAACCGCACAGGGGCACACCAAAACACUCUAAAAAAGAUAGUAAGCUCGUAAGAUCAAAUCAAAUAAAUUCUCAAGGAACAAAGGAAUUAUUUUAGACAAAAAAGAAUCAAGAUUAGGUUCCGUUACCAUUUGAGGCAUGCCAUGAACAUUAAAUCACCAACUUGUGCCAAGCCGUUCCCUUUAUCUACUAUGUGCAUAUGGUAUUACUUUUACUGAUUUAAU
rnacentral:lncRNA from 1 species